AAAUCAUCAGCCCUCCCUGAAACAGCAUCUUUAUUUAGCAUAUAUUUUUCGAUUUUUUGUGAACGCAGCACAUAAAUAUUCAGUUGCAACAUCACACAUUUGUAAAAUAUUUUUCCAUAACUUUGUACUUUGUGCUCGGGAUUUUUGCUCCAUAAAAUUCGUUACAAACAUUCCUAGGC